rnacentral:tRNA from 1 species
UCAGAACACGGCUGUAUUAAGCUGAUUUUUAGCUUCCAAUGCUAAAGUUUUAUUUUAAACUAUAUUCUG